UCCCUGGCAGUCCACUGGUUAGGACUCUGUGAUUUCACUGCUGUGGCCCAGGUUCAACCCCUGGUUGGGGAA
rnacentral:tRNA from 1 species